UGAUAAAAGCUUUUAUUCAGGACUUCCUUCACGGGCACCGGGGAAACUGGGUUAAUCUUUUGUAGGGGGAGUGUAAAACAAAUGGACCUGCGUGAAUGUCAGAGAGCUUAUCUGUCAACCAGCCAACACCAAGCCUCUUGAGUUCCCUUUAUCUGAUAAUGUCAAGGAACCUGGGUUAGCAUUCUUCCCACCUCAGUCUAGUGCUUAUUCAGGCCUGGGCCGUGUUGAAACUGCUCACAUGCUAGGUGUAUAUUGUGUUAAGAAACAGUUCCCGGUGCAGACAGCUGAAACCCAAUCGCUCGCUCUGCUGAGUGUCCCAGUGAUUACACGGCCCUUCUGUGAGCUUGCGCCAAAUGUACAAUAUAAAGGACACGGUGACCACGGCUUCUCAUUCAUUCUGUGUGUCCAGGGACAAGAAUGUGGGAACGUCAAACAAUAACUCAAUGAUGGUUCAGGAAAUUCAGGAAAUUCAGGUAAAAUAUAAUAAGUAGGCCUUGGGUCAUAAAACUUGCUUGAAGUCCUACAUUCCUUAUAAAGGCAACUUCCUUCUCUUCUACCGCCAGUUAGUGUGUGGGGAGGAGAGAGGGAAGGGGAGCUUUUGAAAAUUAGAUGUGAUGAAGUACUAAUGUAACAAUUUAAACAUUUUCAUAAGUAUUUUCCCCCCCUCUUAACUAUACAGAUUAAUGGGACGCAAUAAGGAUCUUAACGCUGUUUUAGACACCGCCGUUCUUUCUUAUGGAAAGGUUAUUAAUCCACUCAAAGAUCACUCUCCUACAACAUUUUUUAUGGCCUUUUACAAACCAGAGUGAAGUCAUUUAUUCCAAGGCUCUAUUUGACUGUCAGGUUUGGAGAGAAAAUUUACUACUUCUGUUCAAGGUAGGAGGGAAUAGAAUAAGGCGAGCAUUCGGGAUUUCUCAGGGCAGAGAGGAAUCUCUGUAGAAAGAAGGGGAGUUACGUGGGGACUGUGUAACCAGAAGGCUUCAUUCAGUGCAUGUUCCCCUAAGCUUAUGUCCUCGGACCUCACCUUGAUUUCUUGUCUUCUGUGACACAUAGGAUACUCUCACUUCCCUGCAAAUGGUCUCUAAAAUCUAUCGCCCAGACCUCUAUUUUGAGUUCCAGAACUUCUUUUCUACCAGCUUACUGGAUAUGUUAUGAGUAUGUCCAGCAUUUAGAGUUGAUAUAUUAAGAAACAAACACAUGGCUAUCCCUUCUCCCUCCUCCCAUCCUAUCCUUCUGCCACCUGCUCAUCACUCACACUCAGAAUCUGGGGUAAAACUGCCAGUUACCUGUUCUUUAUGCUUACGGGGAUGCUUCACUUGCCCCCUGCAGGCUGCUGUGGCUUUCUGCCCUUGGAGGAAGCCUUGAUGUAUUGUCCUUUGCAUCUGGAAGGAAAAGUUUGCUCAGGAAGCUGGAGGAAAACCUUAUGCUUGCAGAAGGUGACACCUGAGCCUGCUUGAAUCAGCCGGUCCUCCUUUUGCUCCCAAAGGGCAUCGGGGUCACGUCUAAGACCGACUGCCUCUUCAUCCUGCCUGCAGCUGCUUCGUCCGUUGUCCUGAGUUUGUAUAUUUUGAUUUUCUGGAGUAUCCCAGGUAAUUACGCAUUCUCCUCAGGGAUGUGUUUGAAUAAUCAGGUCUUUUUCACACACGGCUUCAUGGGAGUGUUGUCUUUUCUACUAUAAUUGCUUACAAUUCAAGCUUGAGAUGCUGUCGUUUGCCAGCCAUCAUUAGAGAGUGAGCACGGUGUAAUGACCGAGAACAUGGCUCUGAGGCCAUGCGGUGCUGCCAAGUAAGUGGCCUUCUGUUAAAUGGAGCGAAAUAGCCCUGAUCUCAGAGGGUGGUAGUGAGAAAUGAAAGAAUUAAUGUUUAUGAAGUUACUUAACAUAGUGCCUAGUAAGUAGUAACCCACUCAAUAAAUGCAAACUAUUAUUGUAUUGCUCCUAUUUAACUUCACUAUUACACUGUGCAAUUCUGACAUAGAGGUUUGUUCUAUGGGGCAAUGUCUGUGAAUUCCAACUACUGCUCCCUAUUAAACUUCCUGGCAAU